CCUUUGACGUUAGCGGCGAACGGGUGAGUAACACGUGGGUAACCUACCUAUAAGACUGGGAUAACUUCGGGAAACCGGAGCUAAUACCGGAUAACAUUUGGAACCGCAUGGUUCUAAAGUGAAAGAUGGUUUUGCUAUCACUUAUAGAUGGACCCGCGCCGUAUUAGCUAGUUGGUAAGGUAACGGCUUACCAAGGCAACGAUACGUAGCCGACCUGAGAGGGUGAUCGGCCACACUGGAACUGAGACACGGUCCAGACUCCUACGGGAGGCAGCAGUAGGGAAUCUUCCGCAAUGGGCGAAAGCCUGACGGAGCAACGCCGCGUGAGUGAUGAAGGGUUUCGGCUCGUAAAACUCUGUUAUUAGGGAAGAACAAACGUGUAAGUAACUGUGCACGUCUUGACGGUACCUAAUCAGAAAGCCACGGCUAACUACGUGCCAGCAGCCGCGGUAAUACGUAGGUGGCAAGCGUUAUCCGGAAUUAUUGGGCGUAAAGCGCGCGUAGGCGGUUUCUUAAGUCUGAUG
rnacentral:rRNA from 1 species